rnacentral:lncRNA from 1 species
UAAAGCCGAAUAGCAAACGCCGGGGCUUACGAAUAGCGGGGCCGAUUUGGUCCGGGUUUCGAUGAGAGCGAGGUUGCGUAAAGCGCAAGGGGUACAUUUAAUGCCUGCCAGGACCAUACGUUAGGGUAUACGUAUCUCAAGGAAUACGCGAGCGGCGGAUGUAGACGAGGGGCAUUUUGGUCAUGUGGCUGAAAAUUCGAUCUGAAUCUACAAAAUCGAAAAAAUGGCCCACUUUUGCAAAAGCGCAAAACUAGUGAAUUUUUUAUGCAAAUUGGCCAAGGGCCAAAUGCAAAAAAACCCUAUAAUAAUUCUAUAAUUAUAAUAAUAUAUAUUUUUGGUACCAUUGAAAAAAUAUUUUAUCAUUAAAAAAAUAUAAAAUAU